rnacentral:rRNA from 1 species
UACGGAGGGUGCGAGCGUUGUUCGGAAUUAUUGGGCGUAAAGCGCGUGUAGGCGGCUUCGCAAGUCGGGUGUGAAAUCCCUCGGCUCAACCGAGGAAGUGCGCCCAAAACUGCGUUGCUUGAGUACCGGAGAGGGUCGCGGAAUUCCCCAAGUAGAGGUGAAAUUCGUAGAUAUGGGGAGGAACACCAGUGGCGAAGGCGACUUACUGGACACAUAUUGACGCUGAGGUGCGAAAGCGUGGGGAGCAAACAGG